GCAGAUCUAGUUUAACGAAAACGCUGGAUUGUGAUUCCAGAAACAGGGGUUAAAAUCCCCUGACCCGCC
ensembl:Mt_tRNA tRNA-His